UCUUGAGGUUGGAAUACCUUUCCUUGAUAAUUUUAACCGAGUGUUAAUUAUUAUGAUCGAGUUUUAUAUAAGCUUGACGAGUUUAUCUAAAAUCAGGAUGGGAACUGAUGGACGGGAAAUGUUUGGUCGAGAACUGGCCAGAAAUAAUUUCAGCUUCUUGUUAAUUAGUCACUAGAGUUGCACCUUCUUGCUUCUUCAGUAUUUAAGUCACAUGACCUGCGCCUACUUGCUUACAUGCUUGCUCAUUAGAAGUCACAUGCUGGUCACAAGCUGUUUGCUUCAGCUGCUUGUAUCUUUCUUCAUGGACGGAAAAUGUUCAGCUGCUUGUGCUGCUUACUGUGCUGAAGCAUGUCUCCAGCUGUCUAACCUCAGUUUUGUCUUUUGUGGGAGAAAAUCAUUAUCUGAAGCAACUCCUUAUGAUAUACAAUACCUUCUUCUCUCCUCUGGACGUUCAUAACCUGCAGCAAAACAAGAAAAAUUUCAGAGAAAAUCUGAGAGAGAAAAUAAGAGGAAAAAUGAGAGAAAAAUUCUGAAGAGGAGACUGAGUGGAUGACCCUUUCUAACCUUCGUGGGCCUUGAAUCAGUGGUUGUGGUGUGUGGAAAAUUUGUAGAUGGUUCAUGAGAUUCACGAGAUCAGUUCACAACUUAUCAGUGUCGAGUAUUAAACCGUACAACCAUGAGUAAAGUUUGGAGAGAAGUUCCAACCGAGAUUAUCUAACUGUCAGUUGUUGUGGUCAGUGGUUGAGAUAAUCUUAAAAGAUCACACCUGUUCAUCCAGUAGAACCGUGUCCUGUCUUGGUUCAGUUCGUCGAAGAGAUUGGAAUGACCAGUCGGACCAUGCCUUGUCCUCAUUCUUUUUCAGGAGUGAUCAGCAAGUGGUGAAUGUUUAGUUUGAGCUCGUGUCUAGUCUUCCUUAGUCAAUCUCAUGGAUUCAAAGGUGAGUCUAGAUAGAUAAUUGAAGAGUUAUGAAUGAGUGUUUAAUGGUUGAAAGUAUUUAUUAUAGAUGAUUGUUUCUAGAUAAAUAAUGAAUUGGUGAGGUGUUUACUUAGUAUAAACACUUAAUAAAUAUUUAUGAAAUAUUAUCUGAAGUUUAUUCCGAGCCUUAGUACUUGUUCUCAAGUACUAAUAUAUAUAUAUAUAUAUAUAUAUAUAUAUAUAUAUAUA